rnacentral:tRNA from 2 species
GUAUAAAAAGCGAAAAAUUUGCAUACGGUUUCGGCCCGUAAGUUAGAGGUGAAAUUCCUUUUUUAUACUCAA